rnacentral:lncRNA from 10 species
CCAAUAUUCAGAUUCAGUAAGUCCAGAGAAUCCAAUAAGAUAUCCAUGAGAAGAUCUACCCCAAGAUGGGGUAACAUAAAUGAAGAGCCAUUUAUAAUCCCAAGAGUCAAUAAAGAGGGAAACAAUUAGUUAUCAAUGUUAAUAGUUGGUUACAAUAGGCCAGGCACAGUGGCUCACGCCUGUAAUCCCAACACUUUGGGAGGCCGAGGCGGGCGGAUCAUCAAUUUGAAUGUCAUGGACAUUUGAGUAGCUUCUAGUUUGGGACUACAAAGGACUGCUAGAAAUAUCCUAAAACCUAGCUUUUGGUAAAUAUAUAUAGAAGUGGACUAGUUGGAUCAUAGUAUAUCCUAUGUUUAGCUUUAGUUUUUCAAAGUGGCAGUCCAAGUUUACACUUAAGCAGAAGUGUGUGAGCUUCCGCAGAAAUUCCUGCCCAACAGAAAGGGCCUAUCAGCAUUUAACAAGUAAUGUUUGUAGGGGCUAAGAAACUUGCCCUGAGACAGCUGGUAUCACAGUUGUAAUCUCAAUAUUAACCGCUUUAGCUCUACUUGACUAAUGAACUGAAUAAUACAUGGACAGACUUUCCCCCUUUCAAUGUACCUAAAUUAGUAUUUUCAGGCAUCGUGGGAGGAGCUCUUUUGUUCAGGAGCUGAUAAUUGCCAAUUUUUGCAAUUCUGUUACUGUCUCUGCUUUCUGAGCAAUCUCACCUACUGACUUAACUUCUGACUUCUACCUAAACAAAGAUGUUGUUGGGGUGAUCAGACCCAAUACCAGGUCAUUGGGGUGACAAAGUCUGGCAGAGUCAAAGGAUUGAGGAAAAGACAGUGAAAGAGAAAAAGGUGGGCCAUCACUAUCAUGGAGUCUGUGAAGGCCCAGAGCUCUGGGAGCCCACGGUAUUUAUUGGUAAUCCAACAAAGAAACAGGUGGUGAGAAUGUGGAGGUCAAAAGGACAUGUUGCAUUAAGCACAUGAUUUACAGCUGUGAUGGUUUAGCAUUUAUAUGGAACAUGUUCUGCUACUUGAGAUAAUGGGAAUAGGAGCCUAGGAGCCUAGGAGGGCCAUAAGCAAGGAGCCAGCAAGUCUAGACACAUUCCAGAAGACAUUAUGCAAGCCCUGCCUCAGUUUCCCUCCCAACCCUCAGCUUUUUCCCAACAGAUACGUCCCAAAUCCCUAUCCUCAGCCCAGACCUUCUUCCUGAGCUCCAGGCUGGGAUAUAAAUCUGCCUGCAAGACAUAAAAUCUUGAAUAAACCACAAUCAUCUCAAGUUCUAAUCAUGUCCCAAGUUGAGUUUGUUGCUUUUCUUUCUCCAAACCUCCUGGAAUUUAUCUCUUUCCUUUUCCAGAAACCCCAGCCAGAAUCUAGAAUCAUUCUAAACUCUUUAGUGUUCAUCGCUUUACUCAUUCAGUUUCAUGCAACCUGUCUUAUGGAUUCUAUAGUUAUAAUGCUAUCCAUUUCUAGCUCCUCCUUUACACCCCCACUGACUUAGCUCAUAUUCUUUUUAUACCUGGCUCUAACUACUUCAGUGAUUUGAAGAAUCCCUGCCAUUGGUCAUUUGUGCCCUUUAUCUCCCUUCCCAAACAUCCUCCCCACAGUGAUCAAUCUGACCUUUCCAGAGUGUCAUUUAUAAAAUGACAUAAAGGUACAUUUACUUUGAUGUUUUAACCCUGUUUAACACCUGUCAAUGUCUCCCCACUUCAGAAGUCCCUAAACAUGAGUUUAGGGAUUACUGCUGGGCUGUGUUCAGUAAGCUGAUUAGAGGGGUGACAUAGAGGAGAAGAACAAAUAUGUAUUUUUCAAAAGUUCCCACUAUAGGAUUCUAAUAUACAGCCAAGGUUGAAAUUCUCAGGGCAAAAGGCCAAACCAAAAUCACAUAUGCAAAGGGGAUUAAUCACUCUGGAUGACCCAUUCGUACUAAUUGGGAUGUGAGCCAAGUAGUAUCCUGUAUUUCUCAGGACUGUUGAGAACUUCUGACCAAAAGGUCCAAGUCAAAACUCAACAGGUACAGAGGGCUCCCUAUCAUCUGAUCCCUGACCCAAUGUGCUGCGUAAUCCCCUGCCCUCUCCAAGCAUCCUGUGUUCCAACCAUAUGAAGCUAUUAAAACUCCUGACUGGGCGCAGUGGCUCACGCCUGUAAUCCCAGAACUUUGGGAGGCCGAGGUGGGCAGAGCACGAGGUUAGGGAGCUCAAGACCAGCCUGGCCAACAUGGCAAAACCCCGUCUCUAAUAAAAAUACAAAAAUUAGUCGGGUGUGGUGGCAGGUGCCUAUAAUCCCAGCUACUUAAGAGUCUGAGGCAAGAGAAUCACUUGAACCCGGGAGGUGGAAGUUGCAGUGAGCCAAGAUCGCACCAUGGCAUUCUAUCCUGGGUGACAAGAGCAAGACUCCAUCUCAAAAAAGAAAAAAAAAAUCCCUAAGCUUAUUAUGCUAUUUUGUACUGGCUGGAAAAUUCCUACUCAUUCUUUAGACCACUUUGAAGCUUCUUUGCUACACAUUCCUAGGCUCAGGAAAUAAAAGCCAAUAACUUCUCAUUUAUGCCCGUAUUAUUCCUUGGACAUGUU